AUUCACAACCCUGAGAUCAAGGCCUGAGCUGAGAUCAAGAGUCCAACACUUAACUCACUGAGCCACCAGGUGCCCCACAGCCCUCCUCUUUAUUUACUUAUUUUAAAAAAUUUUUAGGUCCAUUUCUAUAUCAGUCAGGGAGGACGUUAGGUUUGAGGUUGGUGUUGAGGAGAAUAACUACCAUGACUUCCAGUGCUUUGACGAAACCUCAGAUGCGAGGCCUUCUGGCCAAGCGUCUGCGAUUUCAUAUUGUUGGAGUGUUCGCUGUAUCCCUGGGGGAUCGGAAGAGCAU